rnacentral:lncRNA from 1 species
UCUGUCGAACCUCAUCUCUAUUCGUCAAUCUGUCGAACCUAGCUCAUCUCUAUUCGGCAAUCUGUCGAACCUAGCUCAUCUCUAUUCGUCAAUCUGUCAAACCUCAUCUCUAUUCGGCAAUCUGUUGCACCUCAUCUCUAUUCGGCAAUCUGUUGCACCUCAUCUCUAUUCGGCAAAGCCGUGGCGCUUAUCUUAUAAAGAUCAAUCUUAGGUAAUAUAUAUAUGAAUUACUUGGUUAAAUAUAGUAAAUAUUAGGGUUUUGGGUUUUUUUAUGAUUUAGGGUGUUGGGCAUUUUUAUGAUUUGGGGAUUAGGGUUAGGGUUUUACGCUAUGAUUAGGUUUUUGACGAUUUAGGGAUUAGGGUUACCUUUUUUACAAUUUGUGUUUUAUUAUUAAUGUUUUAUUUUUUUGGUUAUUUGACAGAAAUGGUGGGUUCAUUAUAUGAAUUGGUCCUGCACUUUGAGAAGGAGGUUGUCAUUGUGCGAAAUGUUAACCCAGAUAUGUAUUCAUACUUUAGUCUAUUAUCAGAUUGCCAUAAGGCAUUUAGGAUUAAAUCUGACUUUAUGGAUAUUAUUUCUAGUUGUGGAAUACAUGUUAAAGGGGAUGAUGAUGUGAAUAAAUUGUUUGAAAAGUAUGCUGAUAAUCCUGUGAUAAAAAUGAAUUGCUAUGAGAAACAUUAUGCAUUAUCUGUGAUUACUGAUGGGCCCUUGAAGUUUGUUUUGGAGACAGAAUCUGGUAGGAAAAGUGAACCUCCACCUUUCAAGCCCUUCUGGUUAAAGCAAUAUGAGAUGAAAGAAAAGUGCAAUAGUGAAAAAUGUGAAAGUAGUAAGGAGAAAGAAAAGAUUAUUUUGGAAGUUGAGGAUAGUGAGGGGAAUUCUGAAAAUGAUGCAAAUGAAUUUAUAAAUGAGACUGUUUAUGAUGAUUUUGUAUUUGUGGAGGAAAGAAAUGAUGGAGAUCAAACUGUUCAUAAAAAUAAUACAUCUAAAUCACCUGCAAGUGACUUUGUAGAGGUACCCGUGACGGCUCAAUCUGAAAUACUAGUUGAUGGGGAUGGAGGCACUAAUUGUAACAUGGGCAGUGGUAGAAAUGAAAAUAGGGGCAGUGGUAAGGAUAGAGUCAGAGUAAGUGUAAAAGGCAGAGGAAGGGGCUUAGCUAGGGGCUUAGCUAGGGGCAGGGGUAAUGGGAGAGGCAAUUUUAGUGUAAGAGGCAGAGGAAGGGGCUUAACUAGGGGCAGGGAUAAGGGUAGUGGAAAUAAUUUGGAGUCUGCUGAUGCUAGUGGCAGUGGAAUAACUAAGGGUACUAAGAAUGGCAAGGGCAAAUGUACAGAAUCAGAAAUGAGUGAGAGUGAAAAUGAAUAUCAAUUUGAGUCCUCUGAUGGCAGUGAUUGUACAAAAACUGUUGGAAUUGAUGAAUUAGAUGAGAUUAGUAGUGAUAGUCAUGUAGAUUCAGAAGUUGAGUUAAAUGAAAUGGAUAUUGCUAAGGAUAGUGAUGGAUUGAGCAACUUAGAGUCAGAAGCUUCAAUAGAUUCAUCAUCAUCAGAUAGUGACAGUGCACCAGACCAGAAGAAUCAUUUGCAUGGAUUUUACAAUAAUCCAUUUACAUAUAAUGGUGAAGGUGAGAUCCAAUUUGAGAUUGGUCAAUGUUUUGUUGAUGCUUCUGCCUUGAGGAAUGCUUUACGAGAUUAUGCUAUUAAGGGGGGUUAUGUUAUUAGAAGGAAAAAAAAUGAUUUGAAAAGGGUUACAGCUAUAUGUGCCACCGCUGGUUGUCCAUGGAGAGUACAUGCAUCAGUGAUACCAGAUGGUAGAACAUUUAUGAUUAAAACAAUGGCAAGUGAUCAUACAUGUAUUAGGGCAAUGGGUGAUAAAAAUGCAAAUGCAAAUUCUAAGUGGGUUGCAGGUAAACUAAUGGAUGCCUUAUCAGCAGAUGGUGAUAUGUCUUAUGACUUAAUGCGUCAUGAACUUGUGAAAGAAUGGGGAGUUGAGGUGAGUCAAUGGAAUUUAUACAAAGCUAAAGCAAGAGCUAGAUUGCAAAAUGAAGGCAGUCACAGAGAUAGUUAUAAGAUUUUAGAAGAAUAUGUGAAGGAGCUACAAAGGCAUAAUCCAGGAACUUUUGUCAAAUUUCAGUUUGGAGAUAGGCUUUCAGAUAAUGAUCCAAAAGUAUUUAAGAGGAUGUUUUUGUCUUUUAAACCAAUUAUAGAUGGCUUUAAAGCUGGAUGUAGACCAUUUAUAGGUGUUGAUGGUUGCCACUUGAAAGGUCCAUUUGGAGGUAUUUUGCUAUCAGCUAUAUCACUUGAUGGUGAUAAAGGUGUGAUUCCUUUAGCUAUUGCAAUUGUGGAGAUUGAGUGUGGUGCAAGUUGGGAUUUUUUCUUUGAUUGCUUGAAAACCUGCAUUGGUCCAGAAGAUGAUGAAACACCUCUGACAUUCAUGAGUGACAGACAAAAGG